UACGGAGGGUGCGAGCGUUGUCCGGAAUCACUGGGCGUAAAGGGCGCGUAGGUGGCGCGGGAAGUCAACGGUGAAAGUUCGGGGCUCAACCCUGAAUCGGCCGUCGAUACUCCCGGGCUCGAGCACUGUAGAGGCAGAUGGAAUUCCGGGUGUAGCGGUGGAAUGCGUAGAGAUCCGGAAGAACACCGGUGGCGAAAGCACUCUGCUGGGCCGAAACUGACACUCAGAGACGAAAGCUAGGGGAGCGAAUGGG
rnacentral:rRNA from 1 species